rnacentral:rRNA from 1 species
UGGGGAAUAUUGCACAAUGGGGGAAACCCUGAUGCAGCAACGCCGCGUGAGUGAUGAAGGCCUUCGGGUUGUAAAGCUCUGUCUUUGGGGACGAUAAUGACGGUACCCAAGGAGGAAGCAACGGCUAACUACGAGCCAGCAGCCGCGGUAAUACGUAGGUGGCAAGCGUUGUCCGGAUUUACUGGGCGUAAAGGGAGCGUAGGUGGAUAUUUAAGUGGGAUGUGAAAUACCUGAGCUUAACUUGGGUGCUGCAUUCCAAACUGGAUAUCUAGAGUGCAGGAGAGGAAAGUGGAAGUCCUAGUGUGGCGGUGAAAUGCGUAGAGAUUAGGAAGAACACCAGUGGCGAAGGCGACUGUAUGGACUGUAA